UUGCAUCUCUACCCUCAGAAUAAAUCAUAGAAUCAUUUAGGUUGGAAAGGACCUUUAAGACGAUCAAGUCCAGCCAUUGACCUAACACUGCCAACUCCACCAUUAAACCAUGU